AAGGAAAGAAGGAGGGAAGGAAGGAAUGUAAAAGAAGGAAGGAAAGUGGGCAGGUAGCACAUCUGUAAAUAUUGCACAUAUCUUUGCAAGUUAUGUGCAAAGUCAUUUGACUGUAAAUAAAUUACGUUUAUGGGCUGUCAUGAUCUAGGGGAGCGGAUGCUCACUGGAAGUAAUGGAGAUAGGAGGGAGGGAACAAAAGGGAACUUGGUAACCACAUUGCAUAAUCUUAUCUGUCAACAAAAUCAACCAGCUUUACCUAGGUGGACAGGCCACCUUACCUAGCCUGGAAAAGGAAUGUGUAAUUUAUGUGUCAUGAGUAAAUAGCCAAAUGUCUCAUCAUCCAAUUAGUGAUGUGCAUAAAUGGAUGAGAUCCUCACUGUCCCUACUUACUAUCCAAGGAAACCACAGCCAACAGAACAGCCUUGGCAGAAUUGGCAGAGAAAGAAGACCCUGUUGAGCAUGACUCUAGUCUGGGGCUGUGAAGAUACAUCAGAGGUGUAGAACAAAUGGGAGGCCCAACACUUGUGCAGCUCAGGCCAUGGUCCAGUUGCCAGUGACCUAUUACUGAUCAUUUUUUCCACUGACCCAGUGAGAUGUGGCAGGGGGUGAGCCCCAAAGGGCUCUCACUUCUGAUACCAAGUGCACGGCACAACCUGCUCCAGGGACAGUGUCAGUGGGGAGUUUGACUAGGGCAGUACACCUGUCGAACUGUAACACAGGUGUCCUAAGGUGAGCUCAGGAAGGACAGAAACCUCUCACAGUGUAGAAGACCAGGGCUUGAUCUUGAUUUUUCAGUACAAAUAUUGCCCAUGAAAGCAGGCCCUCACAAUCCUUCUGACUUUUUGGCUUUUAAGCAGUCAUCCAGGAGAUAAUGGAUGAGGAACUCCAAGCAUGAGUCUCCAGAUAAGGAACUCAGACAUCUAGGAUGUUCUGCUGUUUCCCA
rnacentral:ncRNA from 1 species